GUCAGUGUGGCAUUGUGGUUUGAGUGCUGGACUGCGACUCUAAAGACCAGGGUUUGAUUCCCAGCUUGGCCA